AGCUGCAAUAGAGCGUAUAUUAAAGUUGUUGCAGUUAAAAAGCUUGUAGUUGAAUUUCGGGAUCAAUAUUUCGGUCAUGCCGUUGGUAUGCACUGUUAUCAUUGAUUUCUCACCUUCUAAAGAACCGUAAUGCCAUUAAUUUGGUGUUACGGGGAAUUAGGACUGUUA
rnacentral:rRNA from 1 species